GACGAACGCUGGCGGCGUGCUUAACACAUGCAAGUCGAACGGAAAGGCCCCUUUGGGGGUACUCGAGUGGCGAACGGGUGAGUAACACGUGAGUAACCUGCCCUUGACUUCGGGAUAACUUCAGGAAACUGGGGCUAAUACCGGAUAGGAAUCCUUGCUGCAUGGUGGGGGUUGGAAAGCUUCGGCGGUUUUGGAUGGACUCGCGGCUUAUCAGCUUGUUGGUGGGGUAGUGGCUUACCAAGGCUUUGACGGGUAGCCGGCCUGAGAGGGCGACCGGCCACAUUGGGACUGAGAUACGGCCCAGACUCCUACGGGAGGCAGCAGUGGGGAAUAUUGAACAAUGGGCGGAGGCCUGAUGCAGCAACGCCGCGUGCGGGAUGACGGCCUUCGGGUUGUAAACCGCUUUCAGCAGGGGCGAAGCUUGUGGUGACGGUACCUGCAGAAGAAGCACCGGCUAACUACGUG
rnacentral:rRNA from 1 species